rnacentral:rRNA from 1 species
GACGAACGCUGGCGGCGUGCUUAACACAUGCAAGUCGAACGGAAAGGCCCUGCUUUUGUGGGGUGCUCGAGUGGCGAACGGGUGAGUAACACGCGAGUAACCUGCACCUGACUGUGGGAUAACUUCAGGAAACUGGGGCUAAUACCGGAUAGGAGCUCCUGCUGCAUGGUGGGGGUUGGAAAGUUUCGGCGGUUGGGGAUCGUCUCGCGGCUUAUCAGCUUGUUGGUGGGGUAGUGGCUUACCAAGGCUUUGACGGGUAGCCGGCCUGAGAGGGUGACCGGCUUCCUUGGGACUGAUGGUCGUCCCAGUCUCCGACGUGACGCAGCAGGGGGAAACAUUGCGCAGUGGACGGAGGCCUGCUGCUUCAGCGCCGCGUUCGGGAUUCCGGCCUUCGGGUUGUGAACCGCUUUCGCCUGUAACGAAGCGUUAUUGACGGUAAUUUUUCAAGAAGCCCCGGCUAACUACGUG